rnacentral:rRNA from 1 species
UACAGAGGGUGCAAGCGUUAAUCGGAAUUACUGGGCGUAAAGCGCGUGUAGGUGGAUUGGUGUGUCAGAUGUGAAAUCCCUGGGCUCAACCCAGGAACUGCACCUGAAACUACCAGUCUUGAGUGGUGGAGAGGGAAGUGGAAUUCCUGGUGUAGAGGUGAAAUUCGUAGAUACCAUAAAGAACUCCUAUUGCGAAGGCAGCUUACUAGGCUGUAACUGACGCUGAGGCACGAAAGCGUGGGGAUCAAACAGG